UACGUAAGGGGCAAGCGUUGUUCGGAAUUAUUGGGCGUAAAGAGCUCGUAGGCGGUUUGUUGCGUCGGCUGUGAAAUCCCGAGGCUCAACCUCGGGUCUGCAGUCGAUACGAGCAAACUAGAGUGUUGCAGGGGAGACUGGAAUUCCUGGUGUAGCGGUGAAAUGCGCAGAUAUCAGGAGGAACACCGGUGGCGAAGGCGGGUCUCUGGGCAACAACUGACGCUGAGGAGCGAAAGCGUGGGGAGCGAACAGG
rnacentral:rRNA from 1 species